rnacentral:rRNA from 1 species
UAAAAGACGAGAAGACCCUAUAGAGUUUAAUAUUUAUUUUAUAGUAUUUAUUAUUGAUUUAUUUAUUAUAUUUAAAAUAAUUAUUUUAUUGGGGUAAUAUAAAGAUUUAAAAAAUUCUUUAAUAUAUUUAUUAUUUAUUUAUAUUUUUUUUGAUCCAUUUUUAUUGAUUAAAAGAUUAAGUUACCUUAGGGAUAACAGCGUAAUUUUUUUUGAGAGUUCAUAUUGAUAAAAAAGUUUGCGACCUCGAUGUUGGAUUAAAGAUUAGUUUAGGUGCAAAAGUUUAAAUUUUUGGUCUGUUCGACCAUUAAAUCUUUACAUGAUCUGAGUUCAGACCGGUUUAAGCCAGGUCGGUUUCUAUCUUUAUAAAACUAAAAUAUUUUAGUACGAAAGGACCAAAUAUUAAUUAUAAUAAUUAUUUUUUGAAUAACAUU